AUCAUGGCUGUCACAUUGACAUAAAUUUGAUUUUUAAGUAUUAUUAUUCAUCAGUAUCAUUGGAAGCAUGAAAAUAAAUAAAUCAUGAGUUUCGUAUACUUUAAUCAAUAUCAAUAAUGUCACAAGAACGACUGGAGUCAUCAUUGCAGGAAGAUUUACCGAAUGAUGAAAGGGUUAACAAUUCCAUAACCACGAGACUAUGUGAAAUGAUCAGAUGGAAUCUACCAAACUUUGGCAAUCACUUCAGGCGGUUGAUGGGAUUGGGAGGUGAACCAGAUAUUGAUCGAGAUCAGCAUAGAUCAAAUGAUAUGAAUCAGGUUGGGAGUGACGUAGAAUAUUCAACGGAGGAUUUUUCGCUCGAGGAAACUAGCUCCAGUGAAUCUACCCCCUUUGCUAUCUCGGUUAGACCACCAAAUUUGCCGGAGUUUUCUGGAGCCAAUUAUCCUUCAACUUCAGAUGCUUUCUCAAUAUCAGGUGAGCUCAGCGAAGAUGACCUGACAGUCUCGACAAUUUUAUCACCCCAGGGCUAUUCAACUCGUCUGAUGAUUUCAAGUGGUGUCAAUACCAGUGCAAAUGGUUUUCACCGACUAACACUUGCCGAUGUUAUAAAUGAAGAUGGAGUUAUAAUAGCGGAAAAUCCAGGGGACUUUGCUGCUGUACUUAAUGCACGAAUGGGUAAUCAAUCACCCGAUGGCUUCCAGACCCUCUUCGAGCACCGUCACGUGCCCCUAUUCAUUCCAUCCUAUGAAAACAAUGAUUACACAAUGAGUUCAACAACAAUUGAUUCCAGUUCGUCGUACGGAAACAGUGUUACGAGUGAUGACGAAGAAGAGGGAGCCAGCGAAAUGGAAAUAUUACGGAGAAGGCGGCAAUUCUAUGACAAUGUUACCAUGGGACACACUGUGAGGAAGCAAUUUCGCAAUUUAGACGACGAACCUCCUAUAUACUGAUUUCGAAAGUGAAUGGAUUGUACUCGAUGUACUCGACUUAAACGGUAAGACAUUAUUUCCACAUCAAGCGUUCACCGUUGAUCAUUCUGCGAUUAGAGAUAUUAAUUUAGACAAUCAUGAGCGUUCGCGUUGAUUGUCCGAUGCUGAGAAGAUGCUGAUAGUUGAAGGAGAUCUACGUCUGGGAUUCAGCUCGGAGUCACCAGCAAAUCAGCCGAGGAACGAGUUCUACAACUAGACGACCUCCACAAGGCAAAAUCCAAUGGAAUUGUGCUCGUUUGCAUGCACAUGCCACUGACCGUAUGCUAAAAUGAAUUUACCAAGUAGCUGUUGGGCUACUGUAGUACUCCUCCAUGCAGUAAUCUUGGACCUCCUAAUAAAGCCACUCGAUCGACCAUGCUUAUUCUCUCUUUCAUUCUCUCUCAGCCAUCUGACUCCACUUUCUGAUCGUUAGUGUUUAUAUCCAAUUGAAGCCGAGUGCCUUCGUGCAUUGACUUCUUUAGAGUCAAACACCAUUACCAUAAAUGACAGUACGAGUCAAAGCCCAGUAAAUCUCCAACGCACCCAAUUUGGACUAUCGACUUUACCUAAUGUUGUUUGUGCGCCUCCAAUGCAAUUAUCAUCAAUCUAGUUUCAGAUCUUUAAAUAGAAUGUUCUUUACAUUUUUUUUUUGUUCAAUUUUAAUGCAGGUCGAUUGUUCUUGUGCGCUGAUUGAUUUUACACGAUUCGUUUAUUAUUCAGAGAUUGAUUUAUUUGGAUCAUUUGCACUUCGGUUGAUAUAAGGAUCACUUUUUUAAUAGUUAAUACUCGUCGUUCCUUUUAAAUGUUGUCUCUCAUUAGCCGGAGAUUUUUGUAAUCAAUCAAAGCGGAUGCUCUUAAGAAAGCUGCGUCUUUGACUGAAAUGCGCUAACAUCAAUUAUCAUUGGUUCAUGGUUAACGAAUUCGCAGUUAAAGUAAAUGAUUUGUUAAGCCGAACAAAGGCCUCCGAUGAAACAGCGGAGUAGACGAGUGCGGUUAUGUUUGUGGAAGAGCAUGGGUCAAGGUGGAAUAAUAUUUUAUUUAUUUUUUUUAAGACCGAAGACCACUGACAGGGAUAAUACAAAAUAAACUAAGGAAAUAUAA